rnacentral:rRNA from 1 species
UACGUAGGUGGCAAGCGUUAUCCGGAAUUAUUGGGCGUAAAGCGCGCGUAGGCGGUUUCUUAAGUCUGAUGUGAAAGCCCACGGCUCAACCGUGGAGGGUCAUUGGAAACUGGGGAACUUGAGUGCAGAAGAGGAAAGCGGAAUUCCACGUGUAGCGGUGAAAUGCGUAGAGAUGUGGAGGAACACCAGUGGCGAAGGCGGCUUUUUGGUCUGUAACUGACGCUGAGGCGCGAAAGCGUGGGGAGCAAACAGG